CCUCAGAUGAGCUCAAGCUCUUGGAUGUAAUUGAAGAACAGGGAUACGGGAACUGGGAUGCAAUUGGUCAGAGAAUGUGUAAAUCCAGUGAAGAAUGCUACUCUCACUAUCAUCGUUACUAUCUCAAUGAGAAACCUCUAAUUAGCACCUCUUCAUCACAUGAUGAGUCACAUGACUCCUUAUUUCUACCGGCAAAUUACCCGGGAGAAGAAAUAUCACAUUACAAUCCAUUGAGAGCCGACUUUGAAAUAGUACGUGUGACAUA